rnacentral:lncRNA from 1 species
AACGAUGAUGUCCCAUUAGACACCUGGUGCGCGAGUUCAUGUUGGGUACCCUCGUUCCAAUACGUUAUAAAAGAGUAUGCAUUCGUCCACCUUGAAUAUUAUUCAUGUUCUGGUUAAAAAAGGCCCUAAUGAUUUAUGCUAUACAACGUUUGACAUGUUUGAACGAACGUAAAUAUAUUUUUUCCCCUCGUUCAUGACGAGAAGUCCGGCUGGCUUAGAUCAUGUGCUAACAAGACGGAGAUUUUUGGACAUAAAUGAUGAGCUUUUUUGAACAAAACUACAUUCGUUAUGGACCUGUGAUACCUGGAAGUGCCAUCUGAUGAAGAGAAUCAAAGGUAAUGGAUUAUUUACAUAGUAUUUUCGAUUUUAGAUCUCCCCAACAUGACGUCUAGUCUGUAUCGCAACGCGUAUUUUUCUGGGCACAGUGCUCAGAUUAUUGCAAAGUGUGAUUUCCCAGUAAGGUUAUUUUUAAAUCUGGCAAGUUGAUUGCGUUC